GCAACCGCUGGCCGCGCCCCCUGACAUCCCCCGAGCCCCAUCCCCACCCCAUGACCAUGCACCUCAGCCCCUGGCGGGCGCCAUGUUGACAUCCCUGUCCAUCACCCGGCAACCGCUGGCACCACCCCUGACGUCACCGCAGUGCCCGCCCUCAUCCAGCCUCCUGGAAUGUUGUCAUUUCCUGUCUUUAAUUUUUAUGAAUGAAAGUGGGCUGGGAGUUUGAAUGUGCACAUUGGUCGGAGGUCUGGCUGAGGCAGGAAGGAGGUGUGCACCAACAUAAUUGAGAGAAAUGCAAACCUCGAAUGGAAUCAAGUUGUCAAUCUUCAGAUCAAGUUUCCCUCCAUGUGUGAAAAAAUAAAACUAAGAGUAUAUGACUGGUAAGUUGCAAGUGUGUUGGAUUCA